AAAAAGGAACCGACACCUCCCAUAUCAUCUCGAUAAUCCGCAUGCUUUUCGCGACCAAAGCAAUCAACAUUGGCAUUGAAAAAGUCAGUGUCCUUUGGAAGCCGAUGAAGAUAUUCACAUUUAGACCUAAGAUCGUUAGACGUGAUACAACGUAUACAAUGAUGGUAUUUGCCUGCAUACCCUUCUGAACACAUUCCCCGAGCAAAAUAAAGGCAAAAAAAUGACCCUGGAUUUUUAUCCGCCUUAGUAUAACCUGAAUCCCUGGAUAUUACACAUCUCGUUUCUGACUUUACUUGGCUUUUUAACGGAUCCUGUCGCAUGCCUCCACUCCACUUGUUGUACCACCUAAAAAGUCAGCAAUUCCCAAUCCAAAAGCAAUUAAAUAUAAACUUACAGGUUGUAAACUUGUCCAGGUUGUUCGGGCUCCAUUUCAUACUCUGGUCGAGUUUCAAUUUGC